GCUGGCGGCGUGCCUAUUACAUGCAAGUCGAGCGCGGGAAGCAAGCUGAUCCUCUUCGGAGGUGACGCUUGUGGAACGAGCGGCGGACGGGUGAGUAACACGUGGGCAACCUGCCUGUAAGACUGGGAUAACCCCGGGAAACCGGGGCUAAUACCGGAUAAUACUUUUCAUCACCUGAUGAGAAGUUGAAAGGUGGCUUUUAGCUACCACUUACAGAUGGGCCCGCGGCGCAUUAGCUAGUUGGUGAGGUAACGGCUCACCAAGGCAACGAUGCGUAGCCGACCUGAGAGGGUGAUCGGCCACACUGGGACUGAGACACGGCCCAGACUCCUACGGGAGGCAGCAGUAGGGAAUCUUCCGCAAUGGACGAAAGUCUGACGGAGCAACGCCGCGUGAGUGAUGAAGGUUUUCGGAUCGUAAAGCUCUGUUGUUAGGGAAGAACAAGUGCCGUUCGAAUAGGGCGGCACCUUGACGGUACCUAACCAGAAAGCCCCGGCUAACUACGUGCCAGCAGCCGCGGUAAUACGUAGGGGGC
rnacentral:rRNA from 1 species